AGAGUUUGAUCCUGGCUCAGAACGAACGCUGGCGGCGUGCCUAACACAUGCAAGUCGAACGAGAAAUCGGGCACUCAGGCAACUGAGUGCCGGAGAGUAAAGUGGCGCACGGGUGAGUAAUACGUGGGUGACCUGCCCUGAAGAGAGGGAUAACCACUGGAAACGGUGGCUAAUACCUCAUGUGGUCGCAAGAAUUAGAGGUCUUGCGAGUAAAGCUCCGGCGCUUUGGGAGGGGCCCAUGGCCUACCAGCUAGUUGGUGGGGUAACGGCCUACCAAGGCUAUGACGGGUAGCUGGUCUGAGAGGACGGACAGCCACACUGGAACUGACACACGGUCCAGACUCCUACGGGAGGCAGC
rnacentral:rRNA from 1 species